UUCAUCAACCAAAAAUUACAAAAAGAAAAAUUGAUGGUGAAUCAGUGGUGUUUUUGCAAGGAUUUUCUUUUGCAUGAAGUGCGUCAACGGAAGGAGGAGGAAAUGGAUGACUACAGCUCUCAAGUGAAGCAGCGUAGAGUACCAAUUUGUUGGAGUACAUGAAUAAAGAAGUUCUUCGAUGUAGAGAAGCCAAGGAG